ACGGAAUAGAUACCCGGGUAGUCCCAGCCGUAAACGAUGCUCGCUAGGUGUCAGGCAUGGCGCGACCGUGUCUGGUGCCGCAGGGAAGCCGUGAAGCGAGCCACCUGGGAAGUACGGCCGCAAGGCUGAAACUUAAAGGAAUUGGCGGGGGAGCACAACAACGGGUGGAGCCUGCGGUUUAAUUGGACUCAACGCCGGACAACUCACCGGGGGCGACAGCAAUAUGUAGGCCAAGCUGAAGACUUUGCCUGAAUCGCUGAGAGGAGGUGCAUGGCCGUCGCCAGUUCGUACUGUGAAGCAUCCUGUUAAGUCAGGCAACGAGCGAGACCCGUGCCCACUGUUACCAGCAUAUCCUCCGGAAUGAUGGGUACUCUGUGGGGACCGCCUACGUUAAACUAGGAGGAAGGUGCGGGCCACGGUAGGUCAGUAUGCCCCGGAAUCUCCCGGGCUACACGCGGGUCUACAAUGGAUGGGACAAUGGGUCCCUCCCCGAAAGGGUCUGGUAAUCUCACAAACCCAUUCGUAGUUCGGAUCGGGGGUCUGUAACUCG
rnacentral:rRNA from 1 species